AGAAUUUGAUCAUGGCUCAGGAUAAACGCUGGCGGCGCACAUAAGACAUGCAAGUCGAACGGAAGUCGUUAUAAAAGGAGAGAAGAUUUAUCGGAUUGAAUUUUAUAACAAUGGCUUUAGUGGCGGACUGGUGAGUAACGCGUAAGGAACCUACCUAUUAGAGGGGAACAACAAUGAGAAGUCAUUGCUAAUACCGCAUAUGCCAUAACUACCGCAUGGUAGAAGUGGGAAAGGAGUAAUUCGCUGAUAG
rnacentral:rRNA from 1 species